ACACAAUCUUCAUCAUCACACAAGACACAACAACAACAAUGAACAACAUCAUCUUCAUCUGGACACUGUGUAUAUGUGUACAAGGUUUCAGUGGGCAGGUGACUGUGACUCAGACUCCCUCUGUUAAAACAGUUCAGAUCGGUGAAUCAGUCACUAUAAACUGUAAAACAAACAAAGAAGUGACAGAUGCCUGUCCAGGUUCAUAUACUUGUAUGGCCUGGUACCAGCAGAAACCUGGAGAAGCUCCUAAACUCCUCAUAUAUUAUGCAACACGCCGUAACACUGGAACUCAAUCUAGAUUCAGUGGCAGUGGAUCCAGAACUGAUUUCUCUCUGACCAUCAGUGGAGUCCAGACUGAAGAUACAGGACAUUAUUACUGUCAGAGUUACCACAGUGGUCCAGUGUUCACACAGUGA